CAAUGACUAGAGUGGCGAACUGGUGAGUAACACGUAAGAAACCUGCCCUUUAGUGGGGGAUAACAUUUGGAAACAGAUGCUAAUACCGCGUAACAACAAAUCACACAUGUGAUCUGUUUGAAAGGUCCUUUUGGAUCGCUAGAGGAUGGUCUUGCGGCGUAUUAGCUUGUUGGUAGGGUAGAAGCCUACCAAGGCAAUGAUGCGUAGCCGAGUUGAGAGACUGGCCGGCCACAUUGGGACUGAGACACUGCCCAAACUCCUACGGGAGGCUGCAGUAGGGAAUUUUCCGCAAUGCACGAAAGUGUGACGGAGCGACGCCGCGUGUGUGAUGAAGGCUUUCGGGUCGUAAAGCACUGUUGUAAGGGAAGAAUAACUGAAUUCAGAGAAAGUUUUCAGCUUGACGGUACCUUACCAGAAAGGGAUGGCUAAAUACGUGCCAGCAGCCGCGGUAAUACGUAUGUCCCGAGCGUUAUCCGGAUUUAUUGGGCGUAAAGCGAGCGCAGACGGUUUAUUAAGUCUGAUGUGAAAUCCCGAGGCCCAACCUCGGAACUGCAUUGGAAACUGAUUUACUUGAGUGCGAUAGAGGCAAGUGGAACUCCAUGUGUAGCGGUGAAA
rnacentral:rRNA from 1 species